UAUCAAUAAAAGUCCGUAAGAAUGACGCGCGCUGGGGAAAAACCUCAAUCUAGUAUAAGAGGAUGAUUAGCAAUGAACAAGUCAUUAGAGCAGUGUAACAGAUUUAUGUAGUGAGUGAGUGAGUGUAAAUAGCCGUUACGUAAUUAAUAUAUGUAACAGCGAAAGAUGCGCGUCGCGUCUCCGACCCGCCCACGACCAUCAUUUGGCCGCCAGCAGUAUGUACAAGGUUAAAAACAGAGCGUAGACUAGCUAGCUCAAGCCAAUACCACGCACAAGCCCAUUGUGUGUCACUGUUUACGCUCAAUACUAUUCCAUGGCAAUGCCUUCGUCGCUGAACGAUGAGGACGCAGGCGGCGGCGACGGAGUUCCAGACCGCCAUGAUGACCCUGAACUGCUGCUGGCUCCGGGCGAAACUGAUGAACGACCGCCCCACGCACCUAAACAAGGGAAAGUUACUCUGACUUCAUAUUCCGACAGUGUUUCGUUGAGGAUUGUAAAGAGAAAACUUAGUUGACUAUGCAUUAAUAAUAAUUAGUUAGAACGAUCA